GAACAAGAGUUAAACGAACCUUACGAACAACCAUAAGGUUGAUCAUUAACCAUCUCAAGCUAAGGUAGAGAAACUCACCUCAAGUGAAGAAAUCCUCUCUCAAGCUCCAAAUGGGAGUUAGAGUUCUUCAAAUCCAACCUAAAUAAAGGUUUUAAACCCAUCAAUUAGGUUUCAAAGCAGUCAAAUCGAAAAUCCCCAAAAUAAACCCUAAAUCCCAAAAUCUAGGGUUUCUACCAACAAAAGCACCAAAGCUAGAAUCUAGAGGAAGGAAAUCAUCAACUAACCUCUAGGAUGCUCCAAACCAAGCUCAAAAUCCUCUAGGGUUGAAGAUUGAUCCACUACCAAGCUCCAACCACAAGCUCUAAGCCUCCAAAGGUGAGAAAUGAGGGAGAGGAAGAUGCUCCAAGGCCUCCAAGCUUGCUCUCCUUCAACUCCUUCUUCUUCUUCUCCUUCUUCUUCUCUUUCUAGAGAGUGUAGAGAGAGAGUGAGGGAGAGAAAUGAGGGAAAGAGAUAAGGGAAAUGGCCUAAAAGCCCUCUAUUGCAACAAUAUCCACCUAGGCCCUCCAACAAAGCAACCUGUGCACUGCCCGGGUCUGGGCAGUUUUCGGACUGAGGGACCGGUCUCCCCGACCUGGGACCGGUCUCUCAGCCUGCCCCGAAAAUCCAACGUUCGGGAACCGGUCUCUCCCUGCAUGGGACCGGUCACUCCCCGCGUGGUCGCGCUUGGGGACCGGUCUCAUCCGCCAGGGACCGGUUGCCUCGCAGACUACCGCAACACUGUUCCGAGGGGACCGGUCUCUCCUAUCAGGGACCGGUCCCCGAGAGUGAAAACUUUCAGGACACUGCCAAAACUCCAAAAAUCAAACUUUUAGGUCGGAAUACCAUCUACGACCUUUCACCAGGUGUGGAAAAGUUCAGAAUCCAUAUCAAACACUCGAACCUCGCAAUUUGCACAGGUCCAGUGUGUUACAUUCUGUAAUAUAUGGCAACUUGGAGUUGCGAUGUCAACUUUGAUUUAGGGGAUCAAAGUGAGGAUGGAGCUAGUUGGAUAUCAUCCCCGAGUGAUUUGUGAUGCGUGUGAAUGAAUUCUGGAGAUAAAUAAGUGUUUCGGCGCAAAUUGGCCGCGAAACGAAAUAUAAAGAGAAUUUUCGGAUUUCCGACGCUAACUUUGAUUAAAAGAAUUAAGUGAGCAAAAUAACAUAAAAUGGUGUGAGAUACCAUUUGAUUGGACUUAAGGGUGUAAAGUAUAUGUCUGGAAUGACUCGUGUUGAAAUCGGAGCGAAAAGAAAAGAUUUAAAAUUUUCUGUAAAGAACGGGACUGAGAAAUUAGCAGAAAAAUGCACAGUGUCAGAAAAUUAUAAAAACUGGAGGAUAUGUCAGGAAUAUUUUUAUGAGGCUAGAUUUAAAGUUUCACAUUAUUCUGACACCCGUAGAGAGAGAAAUAGAGUCCGAAAGCUAUCUGAUAAAGAUUGCAGUUCGGCACAGUUCGCGGUGACCAAAUGGGGUUGGAACUGAAAUGUUAAAAUUUUUUUGGACUUAUUAAGUAAAACCGAAUAUGCCUGUCAAAUUUGAGCGCAAACGGACAUUUGGAAGGGCCUGCGAAAGGUAUCUGAUCCGUGUCGCUAAGUGGUAUUAAGUCGAGGGGCAUUAUGGUCAUUAGCACAUGUUAGUGGAAUUCCACUAACCUACCAUAGCCUUCUCCAUCCUUAUCCCCCCCUCGUUCCAUUCGUAUGAGAGAGAGAGGGAAAGGAAGAGCACCAGAGAGAGAAGGAGAAAAGAAGAGAAAAGAGAAGAAGAAGAAGAAGAAAAAGAAGAAGAAGAAGAAAAGAGGUAGUGUCACGCCCGGGUACCAGCGGGAGCAUAUCCGGCACGUGCACAGACCCGCCAUACACCUGCAGUAUAUAAGGCGUCUACGAAGAAAGCAAAUCGAUAGGAAGUAAAACAAAGAAAAUCCUAUCCUGAUAUCAGAGCAAUGUACAAGUCGAUAUACUAUCAGUAAAAGAACAGAGAGUAUACAAUCCAAAAUCUCAACAAAAGGAGAAGAAGUAAGAACUAUAACAUCUGGAUCAUCAACUCAUAUACAACACAGGGUACACAAAAAUAUCUGUACACAGGUAGUCCCUCUAUACAAUGGACAUCACCCUCGGCCAUAGCCCGAGUAGCAAGGUGAUCGACUAACACGCUCCUAGCAAGGUCUAGCUAGACGCGACUCCCUUGCCACGAUCCCUAGCCUCUCCUGCAGAUGGCUCUGUAAAAACAACCACCAAAAAGGGCGUGAGAACUAUUAACAAUAGUUCCCAGUGGGUAAGCCGCCAGCCUCGGCGAAUUACACCACUAGGCUCAUGAUGUACUGAAUGAAAGCGAAAACAGUAAUUGCAUGAUAUAGAAUUACGCAAUGCUAACAGGUAAUGAGCAUGUAAGCAACAUGUAAUCAUGACUUCAACAAUAAUGAAUCAAUUGAAUAAUAGAAGCAUAGCAACUAUGAUAAGCAUGAACAUAAGCCUAAAUGUGUAAGUAACUACUGUACACUGUAACCAGUAAUCAUUCAUUACUGUCCAAAUUUCUUAGCACUUUCCUUUCAUUCACAGGGACCUACCCAAGGUAGUCCAGCUUGCGCCGCGCCUAAUGGCCCCGUGGUAGUAUACACUCCCCACGGCAAUCCAUUUCGGCACCCAAUCCCGCACGGGCGAGCAACUGUCGCGUAGGCCAACUCCGGAGUGCCGGCUUGUAGGGAGCUACCCUCACAAGCGUGUGCGAAUGAGCACGAUGGCAAGCAAGCAAAGUCCAUUGUCCACAUGUCACAAUUUUCAUAUUUUCAUUGCAAAGUUCAUACCCUCGAUCCUCUGAUCGGAAUGUCAUUACACAAAUAAUAACAAAAGCUAGUAUCCACUAGAUUGUAAACAUAUGAGGAUAAAGCUAAAUCACAUAGCAUUGUAAUCUUUCCACUAGUAUGGCACUAUCAACAUAGUCAUGAGCAUGUCAUAGUUCUCUACAUUAGAGUCAAGAGAAUGUCAUUGUUCUCUACUUUAAAGUGCAUCCUACACUUGUUCAUAAGUCAAUCAACUGUAUUGAAUACAAAUAUAAAUACUUUCAUGUAUAAGUGUUCUCUACUUUAUAGAGACUUCAUUCGAAUAUGCUCAACAUUAUGCUGACGAAUGUCAAGCCCUUUCUCAAUCACAUAAGCACACAAUAAGACCAUUUCUAUAAUACAUAUAGAACAUAGGGGAGUUUCACUUGCUCUGGUUAGGUCCGACCCACCUAGUACUAGGCUCCAACUAUUCACAAGAAGUCCCACAAUCAGCUCAACGAAGCCUCAAUGCUGCUGAAAAAUAAACGUCAAGAUUGGAUUAAAUCUACGGCCGAAAUGUCCGAUUUCGGCUCAAUUCACAUCUUGGAUCAAGUAGUAACAUAAAUCGCUGUUUUGGUUCACUUUAGUACCUCCAAUUAAGUCUCUAAAGGCUUCCCAAAGCCAACCAAGGAUGACCCAAAGGUCGGUCGAACUCCCGCUGCGAUCAACACCAACACGACAUCAAAAUCAUCAUAUAUUAACAAAUAUAGUCGGAAUCUUGCGAAUUCAGUUUUCUAACUGAAAUCCCUGCUUACCUCAGGUUAGAAUACCUUCCAAACCAGCUUCUAAAAGUACAAGUUUAGCUCAACAAGACUCGAAGACCUGCUGCGAAGAGAAAAUUCCAAAUUGCAUCAAUAAUCCGCGUAUAGUUCCGAUUAAGCUUUAUAAAUGGCUAAACAUUCCACUUAAGCUUCAAAGUAGCUUAUCCCUGGUCUAAGAAGGUAAAAUCACAGCUAAUUAUCUCAUUUUUAAUUGCUGAAAUCUCAGCCUAGCACAGCAAGAAGCAAAAACCCGAAAUUAUUACUCAAAUCGUCGAAUAGAACGUCGAUAACGGCGAAAGUGAGUCGCUUACCUUCUCAAGCUGCCAACCAGUGACCUGCUGGUCCAGGGCUGCGAAAACCCGUCCAAAAUACUCUCUCACACGUCCACGUAAGCUCUGCGACGCUCGCAAACAGCGAAGAACGCACGCGGCGACGAAAACAAGCGAAAUCGGCGAAUUCGACGUAGAGAGAGAAAAACCCUAGAGAGAGAGAGAGAAGAAGGGAAAAGAGGCCUUCUCAGAACUCUAGCACACUCCACUGAAGUCCCAGAGUCGUGCUGGGAUCAAAUAGGUAGGUAUCAAAUGUGAAAUUACCAAACUAGCCUUGCUGCCACGAAUCUGCCACCUUGUACCGGUACAAGGUGAUGUCUGUACCGGUACAGCAAGCAGAAAAAGCUGAUUUUCGCCAGUUCAACGCACUUUCUCACUUUAAGCAUUCCAAUCAUCCUCUAACUUAUCCGAAAACUUGUUCUAACCUUUUAGAACAUGUAGGAGUGAUCCACACACCAUUCCACAUACUCGAACUCCGCAAUUUGCAAAAGUUCAGUAUAUUACAUUUCACCCCUCCUAAAAAGAAGUUUCGUCCGCGAAACUUGGAAACACUUACCUCACGAUUCCAUCGAGAACAGGUAGGGAUAAUGCUCUUGCAUUGCACUCUCCAGUUCCCAAGUGGCUUCUCGUUCCUCGUGAUUACUCCAAAGGAUCUUCACGUAGGGUAUCUCGCGAUUUCGAAGCCGUUUUAUUUCCCGAGCUAGGAUUCUUACUGGAUGCUCCUCAAAGCUCAAAUCCUCUCGUAAAUCCACUGGAGUACUCUCCAAUAUGUGAGUUGGAUCAAAAACAUACUUUCGAAGUGUCGAUACAUAAAACACAUUAUGUACUCCCGAUAGAUUCGGCGGCAAAGCAAGCCGAUACGCUACGGGGCCUAUCCGCUCCAACACCUCGUAGGGUCCAAUGAACCGAGGACUCAACUUUCCUCGAAUACCAAAUCUUUUAACUCCUUUUGUCGGGGAAACCUUUAGGAAUACAUGAUCGCCAACUUGAAAUUCCAAUUCUCGCCGACGUUUAUCCGCAUAGCUCUUUUGUCGACUUUGUGCUGUCAGUAGACGUUCUCGUAAAAGUCGAACUUUAGCUUCAGCCUCUUGUAAUACGUCUGGACCCAAAACCAAUCUCUCACCCACUUCGCUCCAAUGAAGUGGUGAUCUGCACUUUCUACCAUAAAGGGCUUCAAACGGUGCCAUCUGAAUACUUGCGUGAUAACUGUUGUUAUAGGCAAAUUCAGCCAUCGGUAAAAACUGUGGCCAACUGCCCUGGUAAUCAAUCACACAGGCCCGCAACAUAUCCUCAAGGGUCUGGAUAGUACGCUCAGACUGCCCAUCACUCUGGGGGUGGAAAGCAGUACUAAAAUCUAAUCGGGUACCCAGGGCCUCUUGUAAGCUCCUCCAGAAAUGUGAAACGAAUCGGGUGUCUCGAUCUGAAACAAUAGAAGCAGGUACUCCGUGUAAUCGCACAAUUUCAUCAAGAUACACUUGUGCGAGUCUUUCCCCCGACCACACAGUAUGAAUUGGAAUAAAGUGGGCAGAUUUAGUCAAUCUAUCCACAAUUACCCAAAUUGCAUCAUGUCCUGCCUGCGAGCGAGGUAAUCCGACAAUGAAAUCCAUAGUGAUCCUCUCCCACUUCCACACUGGUAUGGGUAAGCUCUGAAGUUUUCCUGCAGGAAGUCGAUGUUCAGCUUUAACCUGUUGACAAGUUAAGCACUUAGCUACGAAGUCUGCGGCUUCCUUUUUCAUUCCAGGCCACCAGUAAGUUAACUUCAAAUCCUUAUACAUUUUUGUACUUCCAGGGUGUACAGUAUACAGUGCCCGAUGUGCUUCUGCUAGAAUCUCUUCUUUAAUACCAGGAUCUGCCAACAGCAGCUCAGCAGCCAGCAGCAGCAGCUCAGCUGGAGCAGCAGCCAACAGCAGUAGCAACUUGGCAACAGCAGCAGCAGCUUGGCAGCAGCAGCUUGGCAGCAGCAGCUGAGCAGCAGCAGCAGCUGAGCAGCAGCUGAGCAGCAGCAGCAGCUGAGCAGCAGCAGCAGCUGCCCCGCAGGGGCAGCAAGGGAAAGAAAGAAAGUAAGAAAGAAAAGAAAGAAAGUAAGAAAGAAUGAAAGAAAAGGAUAAGAAAAAAAAUGAAAGAGAGAAAAUGAGAAAGAGAGAGAGAUGGAAUGAAAUGAAAGAAAAGAUGAAAAACUGACCUCGAUAAUGCACUUUUGCAGAAUUGAAGUCCUAACGUGAAAUUGGCCGUGUACAAACCAAAUUGAGGGUAAAACAAACGCGUUGGCGAAGUAGGUUCGGCAAUCUGUCGAGCCUACGCGAAGAUAUCGCCAAAAGAACAUUUUCGGCUACAAUUGUCGGGAGCGCUGGUCGCGGUUCUCGGGAAAGUGCGAGAAGCAGAUUUCUCGCAUUCCAGUAUCAAGUAAAGGUGGGUUGUGCUUUACCGAAGUGAUUAGGUCACUUCCAUGCCAAAGUAAAAUAUGGUUUCAUUUGACGCAUAUAUGAAUAUGAUUGUCGACAUAUGAACAUUAAUGCUAAUUGCAUAUGAGUAGGCAUAUAUGAUUAAUAACAUAUGAAUGCAUUAUGGUUAAUGCUAGAUGAUGUAUAAUGGUAAUCAGAUGAUGAACAUGCUAGAGGCAUAUGAAUAUAUUGUAGAUCAUGCUAGAUACAUAUAAUUGUCGAUAUAUGAACGUGAAAGCUAGAUGCAUGGUUAUGCUAAAUUCAUAGGAGCAAACAUAUGAUAUAUGAAUGUUGAACCUGUAAAUGCCAAGGGCAUGUAAGUUGAAUAUGAAUUGUGAACAUAGAUGCUAAAGCCUACAUAAUUGUUGCCACAUAAAAGUGAAAGUUUGAUGCCUAUGUCUAAACAUAUAUGAAAGUGAAUGUACUAUAGUUCAAGCUAUAUGAAUGUCGAUAAUUCUAGUUGAUUAGAAACCUCGAUGGCGAUUAAGGUAAAUGAGAAUAUGGGAAUAUGUAAACUAUGAACCUCAUGUUAAAUCCCUAAGAAUUGGGUAUAAAUCGACAACUCUAGUUGAGUAGAAAUCUUGACGGCGACAAAGUAAAUGAAAAUGUGCAAAUUAUAAUCCUAGGCGUGGAUAACUACGAUAAUGAAUAGAUCGAGUGGCAUGAACCUAGUGUUAUUAAACAUAGGUUGGACAUGAAAUGAACCUAGUGUUAUUGAACAUAGGUCGGACAUUAACCUAGUGUCAUUGGACAUAGGUCAAGUAAGGAAACCUAGAGUUGAGAUCUAGGAGAAAGAAUAUAAAACCUAGUGUAAAUGAACCUAGGUUAUGAUGUAAAGAAACGCUCAGUAAAAGUAAACUAAGUUAUGAAUGGUAUAGACCUAGAAAGUGAAUGGUAUAGACCUAGAAAGGUCGUCGACAUAGGGUGAAAGAGUAAACCCUUAAGUUGUAAAAGUGGAUUCCGGAAUCCCUAGGAAUGUGUUGUUGGCAAAAAUAGAAUCAGAACUACGGGAUCGACGGUUCUCCUCUCCCGGUAGUGAUUCAACUGGAUCGACGGUUCUCCUCUCCCGGUAUGCCAGGAAACAAGUGAAUCAGAAUUACGGGAUCGACGGUUCUCCUCUCCCGGUAGUGAUUCAACGGGAUCGACGGUUCUCCUCUCCCGGUGUGAGCUCAACGGGUUUGACGGUUCUCCUCGCCCGUUAAGCUUGAGCGACUUAGGGUCACAGGGAUCGAUGGUUCUCCUCUCCCUGUGAUGGACCUAGUGUCACGUGGACUUAAGGCUGAGGUGCUCGUGAGUCGUCCUUCACCUCGAGCCUGACUUGAUGCGGAACUCCGCGGUUGAUUGACUCAAGACCAAGUCGAGUGGCUAGAUGGCUAAGGUAAAGUAACAUUAGGAAGGAAUCGCCAGUGAGCACAAUAAGAAUAGAGAAUAAAGAAUAAAGAAUAGCUAAUGAACGUGAAUAGCUAAUAAAGAAAAGAAUGCUAUUGAGUAAAGAAUGGUUGAUAAUAUAAAGUAGAAUCAAAAGAUUCGCUUAUGAUAGUAUAUUGUUGCAUGAUUUACAUAUUGCAUAUCGCGAGGCAUACAUGUUUUAAUUUCUGCAUAAAUUAUUAUGAUUAUCUGUUGGACUAACAUGUUACAGUGCCUCCUUUGGACCUGGUGGGUCGAGCUCUUCUCUUGGGUGGCCGUACCCACUGGGAACUAUUUUAUAUAGUUCUCACCCCCGUGCUGUUUUUGGGGGUACAGGUUCGCACGUGAGCGGCGCGGCGGCGCGAGGACAGGGUGUAGCUCCGUAGAUAGCGUCCUACCACCGAGACCAGAGAUAGCGGUACCCUGAAGCAGUCUAGCUCAGAGUUCAGAAUAAAAGAAACAAACUUGUAUCAAAUUUGUAUAAAUUGUAAUAACUUAAAGGCUUAUGUAAUUUUGUAAAUGUAAAAUUUUGAGAUGAAUGCUUGUAAUAGCAUAGUUAGCAUUUUAUGUUUUUGAUACUUAUGCAAUCUAUGUUGGGAUGCUGUUCCUGGUUGGGACCUCUUCUACUGCAUCGUAUGGAUUGUGACGCCUAGGACGUACAGGGAAAGCUCUGUCCGUUCGGCGGUCUGUCGGCGUGCCCGAAUCUGACCAAAUUGGCGGAGCUCGGGGCGUGACACAUUCACCCCUCGCGAAACUCAAAAGCAAACACAUACCUCAAAGCUCCAUCUGAAAAAGAUGGGGAUAGCGCUCCCGCAGCGCGCUCUCUAGCUCCCACGUGGCCUCUCGCUUCCCGUGGUUGCUCCAAAGCACCUUCACAUACGAAAUAUCUCGAUUCCGCAGUUUCUUCACUUCGCGAGCCAAGAUCUUCACGGGUUGCUCCUCAAAGCUCAAAUCGUCCCGUAACUCCAUAGGUGUAGCAUCCAACACAUGAGUCGGGUCGAAGAUAUACUUUCGAAGGACCGAAACGUGAAAGACGUUGUGCACGCCUGAUAGAUUCGGUGGUAGAGCAAGUCGAAAUGCUACCGGACCUACACGUUCCAAAAUCUCAUACGGUCUAAUGAAACGGGGGCUCAACUUACCCCGAAUCCCGAAUCUCCUGAUCCCUCUAGUCGGCGAGACCUUCAAGAACACAUGGUCUCCAACUUGGAACUCCAAGUCUCGCCGUCGUCGGUCGGCGUAGCUCCUUUGUCUACUCUGUGCCGUCAACAGUCGCUCCCGAGCAAUUUGAACCUUGUCCUUAGCUUCCUGGAGCACAUCAGGGCCUAAAGCCAAUCUCUCGCCUACUUCGCUCUAAUGAAGUGACGAUCUACACUUCCGUCCAUAAAGUGCUUCGAAGGGCGCCAUUUUGAUGCUUGCUUGAUGACUAUUGUUAUAAACAAACUUCGCCAUCGGUAGAUGCUGCGACCAUCCUCUCUGGAAGUCUAUCACACAUACUCGGAGCAUAUCCUCUAAAGUCUGAAUGGUGCGCUCCGACUGCCCAUCACUCUGGGGGUGAAAAGCAGUGCUGAAGUCCAAUCGGGUGCCCAAGGCGUCCUACAGACUCCUCCAAAAGUGAGACACAAACCGAGUGUCUCGAUCCUAUACUAUCGAUGUAGACACUCCAUGAAGUCGAACAAUCUCAUCAAGGUACACUUGUGCGAGCUUCUCCCCGAUCCAAGUAGUAUGAAUAGGUAUGAAGUGCUCCGACUUCGUCAACCUAUCCACGAUCACCCAUAUAGCAUCAUGCGCGGCCUGAGAGCGGGGCAAAUCAGUCACGAAAUCCAUGGUGAUCUUCUCCCACUUCCACACGGGAAUAGGCAAACUCUGAAGCUUUUCCGUGGGUAAUCGGUGCUCAGCUUUGACUUGUUGACAAGUUAGACAUCGAGCUACAAACUCGCCAACGUCCUUUUUCACCCCAGGCCACCAAUAAAGCAACUUUAAAUCCUUGUACAUCUUGGUGCCACCCGGAUAUAUAGCAUACGGUGCCCGGUGUGCUUCUUGAAAAAUAUCUUCUUUAAUUCCCGAAUCCGCCGGUACAAAAAUCCAUCCACGAAAAUGCAUCAAUCUUUGGUCAUCCACAAGGAAAUUGCCGGUGCAACCAUCAACCAUUUUGUCUCUAAUCUUUUGCAACUCCACAUCGGAAGCUUGCUUUUUUUUAAUUCAAUCCAAAAGUGUAGGUUGCACCACCAAGGUCAUCAAUCUUAAAGGCGUAUCUGGAAUCACCACUUCCAACUCCAACCGCUUCAUCUGCUCGAUCAACUGCAGUUGAGUAACAACAUGCAUCGCUAAGUUUUCCGUCGAUUUCCUACUUAGCGCACCUGCCACCACGUUAGCCUUCCCCGGGUGGUAUAGGAUAAUCAGAUCAUAAUCCUUGAGCAGCUCUAGCUAUCUGCGCUGCCUCAAGUUCAACUCCUUCUGAGUAAACAGGUAUUUCAAGCUCUUGUGAUCCGUGUAUACUUCACACCGCUCGCCAUACAAGUAGUGGCGCCAUAACUUCAAUGCGAUGACUAUGGCCGCCAACUCCAAAUCGUGCGUAGGGUAAUCCUUUUCAUAUUCCUUCAGUUGGCGAGAAGCAUACGCGAUCACCUUACCAUCUUGCAUCAACACAGCCCAAUCCGCUAAGUGAAGCAUCACUAUAAACCACAUACCCUGCUCCAGCAACUUGCAGGGUUAGGAUCGGGGCGGUCGUCAAUCGUUGCUUCAACUCUUGGAGGCUUCUCUCACACGCAUCAUUCUAGAUGAACUUGACACCUUUAUGCGUGAGCCUCGUGAGGGGAGUAGAUAACUUAGCGAACCCCUUGACAAAUCUCCGGUAAUAACCGGCCAGUCCAAGAAAACUCCGAAUCUCCAUGACACUCGUCGGUCUCGGCCAAUCCUUGAUAGCCUCAAUCUUCUUGGGAUCUACGGCUAUACCCGAUCCCGAUAUUAAAUGUCCAAGGAAGGCUACCUCUCGAAGCCAAAAUUCACACUUUUUCAACUUGGCAUAAAGCUCUUUUUUCCGAAGUAUUUGAAGUACAAGCCACAAAUGCUCCUCAUGAUCCGUAUCACUUCGGGAAUAAACCAAAAUGUCGUCGAUAAACACCACGACGAACCUGUCCAGGUAAGGCUUGAAAACAUGGUUCAUCAGAUCCAUAAAAGCUGCCGGGGCAUUAGUAAGCCCGAACGACAUAGCCGUGAACUCAUAGUGUCCAUACCGUGUUCUAAAAGCCGUCUUCGAUACAUACUCGGGUUUGAUCUUUAACUGGUGGUAUUCCGACUCCAAGUCGAUCUUGGAAUACACACAUGAUCCUUGAAGCUGAUCAAACAAGUCGUCGAUCCUCGGCAACGGAUACUUAUUCUUGAUCGUAACUUUAUUAAGUUCACAAUAGUCCACACAUAGACGAAGUGAUUCGUCCCUUUUCUUGACGAACAGAACUGGCGCUCCCCACGGCGAGACGCUCGGUCGAAUGAAGCCCUUGUCCAAUAGAUCCUGUAACUGUGCCCUCAGCUCCUUUAGCUCCGCCGGUGCCAUCCUAUAGGGUGUCUUCGAGAUUGGAAUAGUCCCAGGGACGAGAUCUACCAUAACUCGAUCUCCCUAUCGGGUGGCAUACCCGGUAGCUCAGCUGGAAACACGUCCUGGAACUCCCAUACCACCGGGAUAUCCUCAAUCCUAGGGGUAUCAUCCUCGCCCCUCAACACAACACUAGCCAAGUAGGCUACACAUCCUCGGCUGAUCAGCUGCCUAGCUCGAGACGAGCUGAUCGACAUCGUAAAAAGCAAACUCCGGCAUCUUCUAAACACAACCUCAGUCUGCCCCGGUUCUCUAAAAGUAAUCGUGCGAUUCUUACAGUCGAUGGUAGCAUAAUACUUGGUUAGCCAAUCCAUACCCAAGACCACAUCGAAAUCUCCAAGCUUGUGCAAAGCUAGCAAAUUUACGGGCAUGAUCCAAUCUCCUACCCGAACAGGACAACUAGGGCAAUACUCUCUAAUAUCCAGAGUGUGGUCGGGUACUACAACAUGUCCCGGAUGCAACAACGAAACAAAAGGGAUGCCAUGCAACUGGGCAAACAGCCGAUCUAUAAAUGAAUGCGAUGCACCGGUAUCAAAUAAAGCACAAACUCUAAUGCCAUCAAGUAAAAUGAUACCUGCAACCACAUCCUCGGCUGCUGCCGCCUCCUCGGUCUGAGCGGCAUACAAACGCUUACUCUGGGCCUGUCGAAAUCCCUAGCUCAGUCGCUAGGCGGGUGGCCGCCUAGGCUGGUAUUGUGUCGACGGAGUCUCGUGGCUGACGGCUGGUAGAGCCGGUGCCGAUGCAGUCGACGGUGCCGGUGAAGAACCUCUCGGGCACUCGGUCCGAACGUGGCCCUCCUGGCCACACUGGAAGCACCUGCCCGCCCGCUGCGGACACUACGGUGGUAAAUGAGGACCAUCGCAGAUCACACACGGGGAAGGCCGGCGACGGUCAGAACCUCCUCGCUGCGCUGCUGAGCCGCGUCCACGCUGCUGGCUCCUAGGAUGCUUCGGCGGCCUCCUAGAGUGCGUCUGGCUCGCACCCUCUGCCGCAGGCCUCUUGGCCUUACCUUUGUCCAUCGCCUCUCGCCGCUCCUGGACAUCCGCCGUGCCGCGCCUGGACAUCCGCCGCGCCGCUCUUCACUAUGAGCGCGCGAUUCACCACCUCCCGGUAGGUUUGGAGGUUAGAGGAUUGCACAAACCGGAAAAUCGACGGUCGCAACCCUCGCUCGAAAAUGCGGGCCUUGUCCUCGUCGUCCCGCACGACGAAAGGCACGCAGCGCAGAAGCCGAGAAAACUCCCGCUCGUACUCGGCUACAAUCCGGUCUCCUUGGCGUAAGUUGCGCAAGUCCUGCUCCACCUUCAUCUUGACGCUGGUCGGCAAGUAGCGCGCCAAUAGAAGCUCCUUGAACUUCUUCCACGAGAUAGCCGCCAAAUCAGUGCUGGGGUUCUCCUGGAGAUCCAACCACCAGCGGUAGGCCUCGCCGUCCAAAUGGUGUGUGGCGAGCCAAACUUGAUCUCUCUCCUCCACGAAGGUGUCGCGGAAGAGCUUCUCCAUAUGCAUCAACCACUUCUCCACGAUCCAGUGGUCGACCUUCUCGCCAUCGAAAAUCCGGGGACCGCACCUUCUGAAUUCGUUGAGGCGCUCCAUAAGUCGGUCCCGCUCUGCCCCCUCAACCAUAGUAGGGAACACUGCUCCAAUCGGGGGCCUCUGAACAGGUGGUGCCGCGAUAGCCUCCUCCUGAGGCGCGGCCGCGGGUGCUGCUCGCGAAGAACUGGGCGCGGGGGACGGCGCUCUCGGCCGGACGUCCACGACUGGUGCUGGUGGUGUAGGGGCCUGAGUCUCCCUGGAAGCUACCGCCUGCUGUAGUAGAAGAUCCUCCAGGCGCUUCAUCCGCGCCUCCUGUCGACGCGCCGCCUCUGUCUGUUGUCGGGCCUUCUCCGCCUGCUGUGUCACUAAGUCGGUGAGAGCCGCAAGCUGUCUCCUCAACUCUCGGACCUCGCCGGAUCCAGAGGUAGCGGAGGUCUCGACCUCCUCCAGGUUAGCCGCGUUAUCCGCUCCGGCAGAUUCGAAGUGUGUAAUCGGCAUCGUCUCUACAACAUCAUAGAAGCGUAAGUUAGUAAACUCAUGCUAUCGGAUCCCCACUCAAAAGGCAAUACCCAAAUCAUGCCAAAGUAAGGAAGUGUGCUUCACUACUAACUCCUGAUGUUACGUUGUCGGCCGCCAAUGUAACCCUCCGCGAAGUUAGGAGCUAUACAUUUCGAUUUAACUCCACUUUCUAGAGUUAUCCAAAAUACCCAAUCACGAUACUUUCGCUCACAAGUCAAAUAGACCUUGUCUCUCACGAGCCUAUUUCCUAUAGUCCAACCGGCUUAAGGUUUGCUAGGUCCACUAUGACUCAAUCCUAGGCUCUGAUACCAAACUAAUCUGUCACGCCCCGAGACCCAACGGAAGCCCGCCCGGCGCGUGUCCAGACCCGCCAUAUGUCUAAAACAUAUAAGGCGUCUAAAACAAGACGAUAAAUAAGGCAAGAAGAGAGAGAACAUCUAGCUAUAUCAGAGCAAAGUGUAUUCUAUGAGCUACAAAAGGGAAAGGAGCAUAAAGUGAAAUCCGCUAUGUAAAAACAUAACAUAAUACAAUAAGAAUCCCAAGAACGAAAGCUAAACAAGGUACACAGGUGGUCUCUAUUCAUAGUACAAAACUCUCUCUCUCACAAAAUCCAAAAAGAAGAGAGUGACCACCUAGAAGGGACAGCAAGCUCCACUAUCUUGUUAUGCGACUCCCUUGCCGCGAUCCUGUGCCUCCGCCGGUGACGAAGGCUUUGAAAUAAAACCAUAAAACAGAAGGCGUGAGAACUAUUGAAUAAUAGUUUUCAGUGGGCAAUUACUGGCUUCAGUGAAAUGCACUACUAGGCCGAAACUAAAAAGGGGUCAGUAAGCAGAUAUAAACAAGGGCGAUAUGUACGACAAGUAAAUAAGCAUGAAUAUUUGCUACCACAUGAUAUCUCUACUUAGCAUGAUUUAGCAUAAGUAAGAAAAGCUAUUCUCGUAUGAAUGUACCCAAGCAUCGCUAGUAUGAUGUCCAUAAGUCAAAUAGUAAAGAUAUCCUUGUUUACUAUUCUAGUCAAUAUCCACAUGGCAUGAUGAAUGCUCAAAGUCAAAUCUGAAGAGACCAGCCCGUAGGCUGUCUGGCCCUAAGACCCACCCGUAGGCUGUCUGGCCGGUGCCGAGCCUAAUGGCCCCGUGGUAGUCAACAUCCCCACUCUAGGAACAAGUCUAGCCCACGGCAAUCCACUUCGGCGCCCAAUCCGGCACGGCGAAUAUGUAUCGCGAUGGCCAUCUUCGGAGUGCCGGCUUGUAGAGAGUGACCCUCACAAGCAUGUGCGAAUGAGCACAAUGGCAAGUAACGCAAGAUCCGUCCAAAUAUCAAGUCCUCAUGUCUAAAACAUGGAAUAUAUAUAUCAAAUGUCCCAAAGGCCUAUCUCUAUGUCAUCAUGUCUCUAACUUGGAAUAUAGCAGAUGUUCAAUGGCCCAUCACUAUGUCUCUAUGUUGCAAUUUCACAGUUUAAUAUGUCAAGUGCCCCUUUAUGGCAUUUUGGUCUACUAAGUCCAAAUAUGAGUUUAUUGUUUGCAAAUGCAUAAUUUGAGCAAUUUCUAACAUAAAAGACAUGUUUCCAAAUCACUAACACGAACACUUCUCACAUGCAUGAAUUUUACCCAUAAUGCUCUACUAUAUAGAGUGAAACUUUCAUGAUAUAUAAGGCAUGCAUUUUAAGUGUUCUAAAAUUUACAUAAAUACUAUCUAGCAUGGAUUUGCAUUCAAAAAGACAUUACGACAAGUAUAGCAAGCGUAGGGGCUAUUUUGCCCCGUUCUCAUGAAGCCAAACCCACCACAACUCUUGCGCUCCUUCGUUUGCUCCGACGAAGGUGUCCACUAGCCUCCUAGCACCUUAAAGAUGUAGGAACAAGAGUUAAACGAAUCUUACGAACAAUCAUAAGGUUGAUCAUUAACCAUCUCAAGCUAAGGUGGAGAAACUCACCUCAAGUGAAGAAAUCCUCUCUCAAGCUCCAAAUGGGAGUUAGAGUUCUUCAAAUCCAACAUAAAUAAAGGUUCUAAACCCAUCAAUUAGGUUUCAAAGCUCUCAAAUCGAAAAUUCCAGAAAUAAACCCUAAAUCCCAAAAUCUAGGGCUUCUACCAACAAAAGCACCAAAGCUAGAAUCUAGAGGAAGGAAAUCAUCAACCUCUAGGAUGCUCCAAACCAAGCUCAAAAUCCUCUAGGGUUGAAGAUUGAUCCACUACCAAGCUCCAACCACAAGCUCUAAGCCUCCAAAGGUGAGAAAUGAGGAAGGAAGAUGCUCCAAGGCCUCCAAGCUUGCUCUCCUUCAACUCCUCCUUCUUCUUCUCCUUCUUCUUCUUUUUCUAGAGAGUGUAGAGAGAGAGAGUGAGGGAGAGAAAUGAGGGAAAGAGAUAAGGGAAAUGGCCUAAAAGCCCUCUAUUGCAACAUUAUCCACCUAGGCCCUCCAACAAAGCAACCUGUGCACUGCCCAGGUCCGGGCAGUUUUCGGAUUGAGGGACCGGUCUUCCCGACCUGGGACCGGUCUCUCAGCCUGCCCCGAAAAUCCAACGUUCGGGAACCGGUCUCUCCCCGCAUGGGACCGGUCUCUCCCCGCGUGGUCGCGCUCGGGGACCGGUCUCAUCCGCCAGGGACCGUUUGCCUUGCAGACUGUCGCAACACUGUUCCGAGGGGACUG
rnacentral:lncRNA from 1 species